CAAAUUAUGAUGAAAAUAUGUCACUGACGAUUGAUCAGACCUAUUUUUGGUUUGGUUUAUCUGUAAGGAUGUUCGCAUUAGCGAGGCAUUUGUCUGAUUCACAA